rnacentral:rRNA from 2 species
UAAUGUGGUUAUACCAAGGCUAUUACUCCAAAUUCCAUUAGAACUUUGAAGGUAAGCACUUUUGGGCCUGAAUAGUAUUGGUAUAGAUGAUCUCUUGGACAAUCUUAGUGCAACAUCCA